rnacentral:rRNA from 1 species
GCCGAAUUAAUACCGCAUGUGAUUAGAGUGGACAUCCAUUCGAAAUUAAAGGUGGCGCAAGCUACCGCUUUUUGAGGAGCCCGCGGCCUAUCAGCUUGUUGGUGAGGUAACGGCUCACCAAGGCUUUGACGGGUAGCUGGUCUGAGAGGACGACCAGCCACACUGGGACUGAGACACGGCCCAGACACCUACGGGUGGCAGCAGUCGAGAAUUUUUCUCAAUGGGGGAAACCCUGAAGGAGCGACGCCGCGUGGAGGAUGAAGGUCUUCGGAUUGUAAACUCCUGUCAUUGGGGAACAAGUCGCUUACGUUAACUGCGUGAGCGUUGAUAGUACCCGAAGAGGAAGAGACGGCU